rnacentral:tRNA from 1 species
GGUUCCGUAGCUCAGCUGGUUAGAGCACUACCUUGACAUGGUAGUGGCCGUUGGUUCAAGUCCAAUCGGAGCCACCA